UUAUGAUUCAGUUUUGGACAAACAUUAUGUAGACCAAACAUUUUUGUUAAAGUUCAGGAAUGGCAAAUUUUUGUUUUGACUAAGAAAAUUGCUGUAUUUUCCCAUUUUGCAUGCAACAUGGUGUGAAUCAAAUUUUAAGGAUUGUACAUACUACCAUGCAACUUUUGUUCAAUUCAAAUUAUAAAUAAAAUAAUCAAUAUCAGCUUUUGAAAUGCUGGAUACAUUUCCUAGUGUCUGGCAGCCAUAUUUUUAUUCUUGAUGAGAAGAAAGGAAAGAUAACAAAAUAUUUAUAUAUGGUUUUCUUCUUAGCUUUGCGGCUGUCUUUGUUGUAGGUAGUGCUGCUUCAUACAAUCAUAUUUAUCCACAAUAUAAUAAUGAUGAGACCCAGGGUGGUAUCAGGGUUUGAGCAUUGGACUAUGACUCUGGAAACCAGGGUGUGAAUUCUCGCUCAGCCAUGGAAACCAUUUGGAUUAUUUGGAGCAAACCACAUACUCACAAUCCCAUAGGAAGGCAACAGCCUUUAAAAACUAAUCUUGUCAAGAAAGGGCUACCUUUAGAUCUCCAUCAGUCUAAAAUGACUUGAAGGAAUGCAGCGAAAACAACAUCAUUGAAUGAUGGUGAAUGAACUUUCUUUUGUCUUUAAACAGCAACAGUGCAUUUAUUAUUGAACUGGCUAAAAUACAUUAUUCUGGACAGAUUAGAAUAGUCCUUAGUUUUAUACAGUGAAGCUUUCAAGUGGAACUAUGCAGCAGAUGGAGUUGGAACAUUAUGCCCAGAACUGGAUACAUGUUGUUUUCAUGAAACCACAGCCAGUGAAACCAUUGACUACCCUCAUAGUGUGGAGAAGAAUUGGCAGCUCAUUUCAUGCUAAGAAAGGGUUAAGAAUCCUGACAGUAGGUGGGAGAAGUAGUCUUGUAGGUAUCCCUUGGAUUUCUCCCCAGGCUUCAAACUGUAUUGAUUUUACAUAUUAGGAACUUCUGCCAUCUAGUGAUUGACAAAGGUAUUUCAGGCUUCAAAAAUUAUUUAAUAAAAUACAUUGGUUUAGAAAAUGUACAUUCCUUUAUGACACUAUCAACACGCAUUCCACUUUUCAGAUGUUUUGUUGUCUUGGAACCUUGGGUCUGUCAGAGAAACACAAAGUCUAUAAUAUUAUUUUAGUUUUAGCUUAUAAGUAGACAAGCUUCUUAAUUAGCUUGCUAGUUAACAGGUAGGAUUUUAUCCAACUAUUGUCUACAAGAGAAGAUUAAGUGUAUAGCAUAAGUGAGCAACCACCUCCUUGUUGGACUAAAUCUUAAGACUUCCCUUGUUAACUUGCCAAAUAUAGAUAAUACUCCUAGAAAUAAGAAUUCCCAUUCCAAGUUCCUCCUCUUUAUUUCUUAGAGGUGCAAAUAUUAUGUAUGUAUAUGUGUUUCCAAAAGGUCCCAGGUUCAAAUCCCAGGAGUGGAAUGAGCACCCGCUGUUAGCCCCAGCUCCUGCCAACCUAGCAGUUUGAAAACAUGCAAAUACUUGUGACAUUUCUCUUCCACAGUCCUACCAGCUUAAUUCUCUGGAUUGCUGAAGGAUAAAGUUAAAAGACAAGAAAGGUGAAAUGGGUGGUAUAUCAGACAGCUUAUUAAAGAGACAAGCUUGCUGCUUUCCCAAAGUGAGAUGACAGAACCAGUCAUGAUCUUGUAUGGAAGGAAAAUGAGAUCCCUAGUGAAGUCUACAGUGUGAUUGACUCUGAAGAAAGACUCUGAGACCCCUUGGUGCUUAAUGACCCUUAUUGGCCUGUUCAAUGGGAACUGCAGUGUGCUCAUCAUCUUCUCAGCAACAGAGAAAAAGCAAUACAGUAUCCUACUUCAAUUUCCUACUCGGAGCAGCCCACCGAACUGGAGCAUUGUUUCCUCCUUUCAGCUGUUCUGAUUAAAGAAAGUGUGGAGAUACUUUUAAAGUAAGACAUUUCUACAGGUGGAAAAAGCAACCAAGAAUGAUGUUCCGUGUCCUUAUACAGCAGGAAUCGAAAGAGGAAAAUCACAUGGUGCAUCAAAUUAACAGUAUACCUGUGGAAAGAAUCUAGUGGGCCAUAGGAAACAGUUUUUCCAAAUACUGCUGAGAUUGUAUCUCCUUAUGGGAGAAUUCUGUGUGUUGUGUGUUUGAUGUCCAUCUUAUUACACAAUUAAAAAAUCUUUACUUCAA